GGCACUUAAUAAGCAAUAAUCUAUGUGAUAUAAAUGGGGGGGGGGAAUCUCAACAUGCAGUCCCUCAUCCAGUUUGAAACCCUACCGGACCCAGCUUAGCUUUGCAAAUGUGUUAGUCGUAUUAUUGCUCUUUGUGUAUCUUGGGUAAUUUCUGCUACAACAAUAAGAAACCUGCAUCCAGAAUCAAUAACCCCUUAGAGGAGAGGGCAGAACUAGAAUAUAAGAAACAUUUUUGCAUUGCUGAACUCCUCUUUCUCUGAAUUCCAAGUUUGUAUUGUUUCCGCUGAAAUGAUAUGAUGUGCUUGUGAAGCUGCACUUGCGGCCGGAUUACCAAGUUGCAACUACUGUGUGUGAUGACUGGCACGCAGUGAGGUGAACACCCAUCUUCACAUUGUGGCUUCUCUCAAAUCACCUGUUGAAAGUUGGCAGGAACAGAGAGGAUGGGCAAGGUGUUUCACUUGCAGUCAUCACUAAGGCUUAGGGAACCAGUAUACCAGUACAGGAAUUUCCACAAAGCAUGUAAUUCAUGUCCGUCACUUCCAGACAGGAAAUCCUGUUGAAUCAAUCAAUACUUCAGUAUUUUACUUGACGAGAACAGUAGCCAAAUUGAAACAACGCAAAUUAUAAGGUGCUGCCUGGCCAAAUGAUGAAAAGUUUUUAAAAUAUCUCAUUCUAUCCAGAGGGAGGUUAAUUAAUAUUGAGCUGUUGUCGUUUAUAUUUUUAUUUCCACCCUUCCUCCAAGGACAUGAGGGCAAUGUUCUCAUAACAACCCUGUGAAGUAGGUCAGGUUGAUAAAUGGUGAGUGGCUCAAGUUCACUCACCAUGCUUUGCGACUGAACAGAGAUUUGAGCACUUAUAUUAUUGUCCUAAGUUGGAUGAAUCCCUAGCCGGAAUUAAGAUUGCUGGAAGAAAGAUCAACAACCUCAGAUAUGCAGAUGACACAAGAUUGAUGGCAGAAAGUGAGGAGGACUUAAAGAACCUUUUAAUGAGGGUGAAAGAGGAGAGUGCAAAAUAUGGUUUGAAGCUCAACAUCAAAAAAACGAAGAUCAUGGCCACUGGUCCCAUCACCUCCUGGCAAAUAGAAGGGGAAGAAAUGGAGGCAGUGAGAGAUUUUACUUUCUUGGGCUCCAUGAUCACUGCAGAUGGUGACAGCAGUCACAAAAUUAAAAGAUGCCUGCUUCUUGGGGGAAAAGCAAUGACAAACCUAGACAGCAUCUUAAAAAGCAGAGACAUCACCUCGCCGACAAAGGUCUGUAUAGUUAAAGCUAUGGUUUUCCCAGUAGUGAUGUAUGGAAGUGAGAGCUGGACCAUAAAGAAGGCUGAUUGCCGAAGAAUUGAUGCUUUUGAAUUAUGGUGCUGGAGGAGACUCUUGAGAGUCCCAUGGAGUGCAAGAAGAUCAAACCUAUCCAUUCUGAAGAAAAUCAGCCCUGAGUGCUCCCUGGAAGGACAGAUCCUGAAGCUGAGACUCCAAUACUUUGGCCACCUCAUGAGAAGAGAAGACUCCCUGGAAAAGACCCUGAUGUUGGGAAAGAUGGAGGGCACAAGGAGAAGGGGACGACAGAGGACGAGAUGGUUGGACAGUGUUCUCAAAGCUACCAGCAUGAGUUUGACCAAACUGCGGGAGGCAGUGGAAGACAGGAGUGCCUGGCGUUCUCUGGUCCAUGGGGUCACGAAGAGUCAGACACGACUAAACAACAAACAAAAUGUCAGUUCUAUAGCUGCUAUACCAGCCUAUUCCUCCCGCCCUUGAACUGUGCGCCAGCUGGUCAUUAUAAGGAACAACUGUUUAGAAACUUGUGCCUGAGCUUUGAUUUUUAUUUCUUCUUCCCUCCCUGUCCCUUUCCCAUUGUAUUAAUUAUAUGCAGCCCUUCUCACUGGGUUGCCCCAGCCACUCUGGGAGGCUUCCAGCAAAAUAUGAUAACACAGUAAAACAUCAAACAUUAAAAGCUUCCAUAUACAGGGCUGCCUUCAGAUGUCUUCUAAGAGUCAUAGAAGCAUCCAAGACAGCUUAUGUCAACAAUUCAAUAAAAGCAGCAAGUAAAAUAUUAAAAUAGAAACAGGAAGCAGCAGAUAAUACAAAAACAUCAGGAAG